rfam:Dipodomys ordii contig_60411, whole genome shotgun sequence.
GGAAAACUGGCAGAGGGGCCAGCCCCUGGUCCCUCAACAAAAAAACCGGGGCA